GAUGAACGCUGGCGGCGUGCCUAACACAUGCAAGUCGAGCGAACGGACGAGAAGCUUGCUUCUCUGAUGUUAGCGGCGGACGGGUGAGUAACACGUGGAUAACCUCCCUAUAAGACUGGGAUAACUUCGGGAAACCGGUGCUAAUACCGGAUGAUAUUUUGAACCGCUUGGUUCAAAAGUGAAAGACGGUCUUGCUGUCACUUAUAGAUGGACCCGCGCUGCAUUAGCUAGUUGGUAAGGUAACGGCUUACCAAGGCAACGAUGCAUAGCCGACCUGAGAGGGGGGUCGGCCGCACUGGGGCUGAAACGCGGUCCAGACUCCUACGGGAGGCAGCAGUAGGGAAUCUUCCGCAAUGGGCGGAAGCCUGACGGAGCAACGCCGCGUGAGUGAUGAAGGUCUUCGGAUCGUAAAACUCUGUUAUUAGGGAAGAACAUAUGUGUAAGUAACUGUGCACAUCUUGACGGUACCUAAUCAGAAAGCCACGGCUAACUACGUG
rnacentral:rRNA from 1 species